UCGCCUCUUGAACAAAAAUAAGAGGUCCAGCCUGCCCAGUGACUAAUGUUCAACGGCCGCGGUAUCCUAACCGUGCGAAGGUAGCGUAAUCACUUGUUCUUUAAAUGAGGACUAGUAUGAACGGCACCACGAGGGUUAUACUGUCUCCUCUAUCUAAUCAGUGAAACUAAUCCCCCCGUGAAGAAGCGGGGAUAAAACUAUAAGACGAGAAGACCCUAUGGAGCUUUAAACUUAUCCUCAAACGCCAAAAUCACACACCAAGUUUUUAACUUCACCACAUGAACUCUCGCGCCAUGAGGACAAUUUUUAGGUUGGGGUGACCAUGGAGUAUAAAACAACCUCCAUGCUGAAUAGGCCUCCAAGCCUCGAGCCAAGGGCUACGACCCAUCGCACUAAAAUAUUAACAUCCAUUGAUCCAAUGUACUUUGAUCAACGAACCAA
rnacentral:rRNA from 1 species